CCAACGGAUCCACCAGCAAUGGUCAGGGGAGUGGACGAUGGAGAGCUAGAAGCUCUUUAUUAAAAUUUUUCAAUUAUUUUUUCAUUCGCAGUCUGAUUUUUAUUACAAAAUUAAAAUAACUAUAACUUUAAUUUUCAAGACCGUACGACAGAUAUGAGCUCCCAAUCUAUCCCUGAGGACUCGAUCGCACCAACAGAUGAUGAGAUCUGUGAUCGGGUACACAAUAUGAGAUCCUGUUAUGUUAGGGAUCUAGGAUAUGGGAUCACUACUCUCUCA
rnacentral:lncRNA from 1 species